rnacentral:rRNA from 1 species
AGCAGUAGCCGCGGUAAGACAGAGGAUGCAAGCGUUAUCCGGAAUGAUUGGGCGUAAAGGGCUCGCAGGCGGUUUCUUAAGUCUGAUGUGAAAGCCCACGGCUCAACCGUGGAGGGUCAUUGGAAACUGUUAAACUUGAGUGCAGGAGAGAAAAGUGGAAUUCCUAGUGUAGCGGUGAAAUGCGUAGAGAUUAGGAGGAACACCAGUGGCGAAGGCGGCUUUUUGGCCUGUAACUGACACUGAGGCGCGAAAGCGUGGGGAGCAAACAGGAUUAGAUACCCCUGUAGUCCCUGUCUCUUAUAA